GACGAACGCUGGCGGCGUGCUUAACACAUGCAAGUCGAUCGGUAACAGGUGUAGCAAUACAUGCUGACGAGAGGCGGACGGGUGAGUAAUGCUUGGGAAUCUGCCUAUUAGUGGGGGACAACCCGGGGAAACUCGGGCUAAUACCGCAUACGCUCUACGGAGGAAAGCCGGGGACCGCAAGGCCUGGCGCUAAUAGAUGAGCCCAAGUCGGAUUAGCUAGUUGGUAGGGUAACGGCCACCAAGGCGACAAUCCGUAGCUGGUCUGAGAGGACGACCAGCCACACCGGAACUGAGACACGGUCCGGACUCCUACGGGAGGCAGCAGUGGGGAAUAUUGGACAAUGGGGGCAACCCUGAUCCAGCGACGCCGCGUGGGUGAAGAAGGCCUGCGGGUUGUAAAGCCCUUUCGGUGGGGAAGAAAAGUCUCGACCUAAUACGUCGGGACCUUGACGUAACCCACUAAAGAAGCACCGGCUAACUCUGUGCCAGCAGCCGCCGUAAG
rnacentral:rRNA from 1 species